AGCUCCAGUAGCGUAUAUUAAAGUUGUUGCAGUUAAAAAGCUCGUAGUUGGAUUUCUGGUGUGGCAAACCCGAUCUGGAGCCUCUGUGUUCUAUGUGUCGGUUGUUUGUCUGCCAUCCUUCCAGGAAACGACAAUACUGUUUAUUCAGCCGUUGUCGCGCUCUGGAACUUUUACUUUGAAAAAAUUAGAGUGUUCAAAGCAAGCAAGUUGUUGAAUACGUUAGCAUGGAAUAAUAAUUUAGGACUUCGGUUCUAUUUUGUUGGUCUCUAGAACCAAAGUAAUGAUUGAUAGGGAUAGUUGGGGGUGCUAGUAUUCAGCGGCCAGAGGUGAAAUUCUUGGAUUCGCUGAAGACUAACUUAUGCGAAAGCAUUCACCAAGGAUGUCUUCUUUA
rnacentral:rRNA from 1 species